rnacentral:rRNA from 2 species
CGGGAGGCAGCAGUAGGGAAUCUUCCACAAUGGACGAAAGUCUGAUGGAGCAACGCCGCGUGAGUGAUGAAGGUUUUCGGAUCGUAAAACUCUGUUGUUAAAGAAGAACAAGUGUUAGAGUAACUGUUAACACUUUGACGGUAUUUAACCAGAAAGCCACGGCUAACUACGUGCCAGCAGCCGCGGUAAUACGUAGGUGGCAAGCGUUGUCCGGAUUUAUUGGGCGUAAAGCGAGCGCAGGCGGUUUUGUAAGUCUGCUGUGAAAGCCCUCAGCUCAACUGAGGAAGUGCAGUGGAAACUACAAAACUUGAGUACAGAAGAGGAAAGUGGAACUCCAUGUGUAGCGGUGAAAUGCGUAGAUAUAUGGAAGAACACCAGUGGCGAAGGCGGCUUUNUUGGUCUGUUACUGACGCUGAGGCUCGAAAGCAUGGGUAGCGAACAGGAUUAGAUACCCUGGUAGUCCAUGCCGUAAACGAUGAAUACUAGGUGUUGGAGGGUUUCCGCCCUUCAGUGCCGCAGCUAACGCAUUAAGUAUUCCGCCUGGGGAGUACGACCGCAAGGUUGAAACUCAAAGGAAUUGACGGGGGCCCGCACAAGUGGUGGAGCAUGUGGUUUAAUUCGAUGCUACGCGAAGAACCUUACCAGCUCUUGACAUCUUCUGCCAACCCAAGAGAUUGGGCGUUCCCUUCGGGGACAGAAUGACAGGUGGUGCAUGGUUGUCGUCAGCUCGUGUCGUGAGAUGUUGGGUUAAGUCCCGCAACGAGCGCAACCCUUAUUAUUAGUUGCCAGCAUUUAGUUGGGCACUCUAGUGAGACUGCCGGUGAUAAACCGGAGGAAGGUGGGGACGACGUCAAAUCAUCAUGCCCCUUAUGAGCUGGGCUACACACGUGCUACAAUGGAUGGUACAACGAGUCGCGAAACCGCGAGGUCAAGCUAAUCUCUUAAAGCCAUUCUCAGUUCGGAUUGCAGGCUGCAACUCGCCUGCAUGAAGUUGGAAUCACUAGUAAUCGUGGAUCAGCAUGCCACGGUGAAUACGUUCCCGGGCCUUGUACACAC